rnacentral:rRNA from 1 species
AACGAACGUUAGCGGCGCGCUUAACACAUGCAAGUCGCACGAGAAAGGGCUUCGGCCCCGGUAAAGUGGCGCACGGGUGAGUAACACGUGGGUAAUCUGCCCUCGAGCGGGGGAUAACAUCUCGAAAGGGAUGCUAAUACCGCAUAAGACCACAGCCUCGAAAGAGGCAGCGGUCAAAGCAGGCCUCUGUAUACAAGCUUGCACUUGAGGAUGAGCCCGCGGCCCAUCAGCUAGUUGGCAGGGUAACGGCCUACCAAGGCGACGACGGGUAGCUGGUCUGAGAGGAUGAUCAGCCACACUGGAACUGAGACACGGUCCAGACUCCUACGGGAGGCAGCAGUGGGGAAUCUUGCGCAAUGGGCGAAAGCCUGACGCAGCGACGCCGCGUGGGUGAUGAAGGCCUCGGUUGUAAGGACUCUGUGGGAGGAGACGAA